rnacentral:rRNA from 1 species
AUUGAACGCUGGCGGCAGGCCUAACACAUGCAAGUCGAACGGUAACAGGAAGACGCUUGCUUCUUUGCUGACGAGUGGCGGACGGGUGAGUCAUGUCUGGGAAACUGCCUGAUGGAGGGGGAUAACUACUGGAAACGGUAGCUAAUACCGCAUAACGUCGCAAGCCCAAAGAGGGGGACCUUCGGGCCUCUUGCCAUCGGCUGUGCCCAGAUGGGAUUAGCUAGUAGGUGGGGUAACGGCUCACCUAGGCGACGAUCCCUAGCUGGUCUGAGAGGAUGACCAGCCACACUGGAACUGAGACACGGUCCAGACUCCUACGGGAGGCAGCAGUGGGGAAUAUUGCACAAUGGGCGCAAGCCUGAUGCAGCCAUGCCGGGUGUAUGAAGAAGGCCUUCGGGUUGUAAAGUACUUUCAGCGGGGAGGAAGGGAGUAAAGUUAAUACCUUUGCUCAUGGACGUUACCCGCAGAAGAAGCACCGGCUAACUCCGU